AAUCUGUGUAAAAUGUAUUUAGCAUCCCGAUCCACUCUCCAUUCCAGUAGAUGGCGGUAAUGCACAUCUAAACGUUGCUUGCCAACCGCCAUAAAAAAAUAAAAUAAAAUAAAAUAAAAAACAAGAACUCAACACGCUGUCCGAGAAAUCUUUUGAGUCAUUUUUGCCUCAUCAUCAGCCAACAUUGAGGCAAAGACGACUGGCAAGAAAAUUCCCCAAGGAGUUGUACAUCAGCUCUGAAAAACCCAAGUUUUUCGCAGCCAGAGGACGAAUGGGGCGCAGAAAGUCUCGUUAUGUGAGAGUGAAAGCUCCGUCGGGUGCAUUUUGUACUUGAAAAACGGAUCAAUGCAGCUGGCACUCACCUGCUUCACCUCUUCAUGACUGGUCUGAAUGCAGUGACCUUGUCGUUCUGCACAGUCCCACAGGCUUCGCUGAGGUCAGAUGACUGAAUCUCUACCUUGCCACUGGAGAAUCCUGCGUGUCCAAGUAAAAGCACACCUCAAGAAAGUUGCUUCAGGCAUCUGGAAGGGGAGCAUAAGACGAGCUGUGAAGUUGGAGGCCCUUGUGGCUGUAGCUGCCUGUGCCGUAAACUUUUGAGUGCAAGGAU